rnacentral:lncRNA from 1 species
GAGAACAAAUGUACAAAAUGCUCAAAGAGCUUUAUUUAAACAGAAAUGGAGAUAGCUUAUUAAAGCUUUAUUGAACAAGAAAGUAAAGAGAAGAAGGAAGCUGAGAUUGUCUGCAAGAGUUAAAUGUUUAUAAAACUGAUAUUCAUAAAGAUGAGAGUUUGGCUGCUAGAAACGCAGCCUUGGUUACAUUGCAAAGUGACCUUACACAGAUAUUUAUAUCAACUCAAUAUGCUAGAAAACCUAGAUACAAUGAGCUUAGGUAAUGGGCUUCCGGUCUUUAUUUGGGCCUUGCUAAUACUCCCCCGCAAACUUAGCGUGGAUGGAGCAGCUACGCUGAGUUUGAAGGCACAGAUGGAGAUGGCUUUAGAUGAGCAUAAGUAGAUGAAGUAGGAUGCUUGAGAUGUUGGCAAAUGGUUCUACUCACCAUUGUAGACAAACAUUAGUGUGAGAUCUAUUCAGACCUAUACUUGGAGAGUAUCACAUGGCUUCACUCAGAGGUUUCUCUUGAACUUGGAGAGCUUAGUUGAUCUCACUCAGAGGUAUAAUUGUGGCCUAUUUGUCUCACUAUGAAUCUAGGUUUACUUAAACCAUUUCAUUCUUCUAAUCUGUCUCAUGAAGAACUCUCUUUCCACACCUACCAAAUACAACUAUACUCACUCUCUGCUUCAUUAUCACUAGUCACUAUCAUCUUUUAUCUCUCUGUGACAUUGUACCAAACACUUGGUGCGCAUCAAAAACAGAGACUUUCUUCCAUAAACCCUUUUUUUUUUUUUUUUUUUUUUUUUACAGAAAAUCAAACCUAGCGUAAGCAUUCUAUUCCAGAUUCCAAGCCUAUAAUCUAAACCAGCCAGCAUAAAUCACCAAACGACCACACAUGCAUCACUUCUCCUUAAUCUACCAAACGACCAUUCACUUGUUCUGUCUCAGGAAGAAGGACAGAUACAUACCAUUGAUAAACAUAUUUGUGUGAUGACUUCCUCCUUCAGUUCACGUGUGAUUUCGUCGUUGAUUACGGUUUCAUCACGGUUCGUACAGAGGAACGCUUUCGUAGCCGCUGAGUUUUGUCCAUGGAGUCCGACAUAAGCGGGUUGGGUUUGAAGACAUGACUGUUUCUUUCUCACGUUGUAUCUCUGGCCCAUCUGGCCCAAUACCCUUUCUUCUUCAUACAGACAUCUCGUAGGAAGCAAACGAAAGUCUUGGAAGACUUAAUGGCUCCAUAGAGGUCUUGUAGAUAGUCUGAAGCUCAAGUAGAAGAUAUAACACCAAGAUCUACUCCCUGAUGCUCUGAUACCAUGAGAACAAAUGUACAAAAUGCUCAAAGAGCUUUAUUUAAACAGAAAUGGAGAUAGCUUAUUAAAGCUUUAUUGAACAAGAAAGUAAAGAGAAGAAGGAAGCUGAGAUUGUCUGCAAGAGUUAAAUGUUUAUAAAACUGAUAUUCAUAAAGAUGAGAGUUUGGCUGCUAGAAACGCAGCCUUGGUUACAUUGCAAAGUGACCUUACACAGAUAUUUAUAUCAACUCAAUAUGCUAGAAAACCUAGAUACAAUGAGCUUAGGUAAUGGGCUUGCGGUCUUUAUUUGGGCCUUGCUAAUA